GGGGAAUAUUGGACAAUGGGGGCAACCCUGAUCCAGCAAUGCCGCGUGUGUGAAGAGGGCCUGCGGGUUGUAAAGCACUUUCGGUGGGGAGGAAAAGCAACGGGUUAAUAACCCGGUGUCUUGACGUAACCCACAUAAGAAGCACCGGCUAACUCCGUGCCAGCAGCCGCGGUAAUACGGAGGGUGCGAGCGUUAAUCGGAAUUACUGGGCGUAAAGCGUGCGUAGGCGGAUACUUGAGUCGGAUGUGAAAGCCCCGGGCUUAACCUGGGAAUUGCAUCCGAUACUGGGUGUCUAGAGUGUGGUAGAGGGGGGUAGAAUUCCUGGUGUAGCGGUGAAAUGCGUAGAUAUCAGGAGGAAUACCGGUGGCGAAGGCGACCCCCUGGACCAACACUGACGCUGAGGUACGAAAGCGUGGGUAGCAAAC
rnacentral:rRNA from 1 species